CCGGCACGGGUGAGUAACACGUAUCCAACCUGCCGUCUACUCUUGGACAGCCUUCUGAAGGAAGAUUAAUACAAGAUGGCAUCAUGAGUUCACAUGUUCACAUGAUUAAAGGUAUUCCGGUAGACGAUGGGGAUGCGUUCCAUUAGAUAGUAGGCGGGGUAACGGCCCACCUAGUCUUCGAUGGAUAGGGGUUCUGAGAGGAAGGUCCCCCACAUUGGAACUAAGACACGGUCCAA
rnacentral:rRNA from 1 species